GAUGAACGCUGGCGGCGUGCCUAAUACAUGCAAGUCGAGCGAACAGAUGAGGAGCUUGCUCCUCUGACGUUAGCGGCGGACGGGUGAGUAACACGUGGAUAACCUACCUAUAGGACUGGGAUAACUUCGGGAAACCGGAGCUAAUACCGGAUAACAUAUUGAACCGCAUGGUUCAAUAGUGAAAGACGGUUUUGCUGUCACUUAUAGAUGGAUCCGCGCCGCAUUAGCUAGUUGGUAAGGUAACGGCUUACCAAGGCAACGAUGCGUAGCCGACCUGAGAGGGUGAUCGGCCACACUGGAACUGAGACACGGUCCAGACUCCUACGGGAGGCAGCAGUAGGGAAUCUUCCGCAAUGGGCGAAAGCCUGACGGAGCAACGCCGCGUGAGUGAUGAAGGUCUUCGGAUCGUAAAACUCUGUUAUUAGGGAAGAACAAAUGUGUAAGUAACUAUGCACGUCUUGACGGUACCUAAUCAGAAAGCCACGGCUAACUACGUG
rnacentral:rRNA from 1 species